ACAUAUCUACAUCCUGCAUUUUCUGUAAGGAAAACAAAAUAUGAAUAAAACCAAAAUGUAAAGCAAACCAUAUUUCUUUUUUCUUGUUUUAAUUAUCAAUCUGCUGGAAAUGUUAUGCUGAUGAGACUGAUAUACUAACAAGUUAUUGAAUUCUAAAACAUCUUGUUACAAUAAGUUCUCUGAACAUAUGGAUGAUGUAAUGACUGUUCAGUGGAUCAAUUAUCAGUUCUGUAUCCAUCAAUGUGGAAACAACACUUGGUGCUGCCAGAAAAGAGAGUUUGUCAUUUUUAUUUUCUUCAAGUUUUAAAAAUUUGAAAAAGAUGAAAGCAUAAGCGUACCUUUAACCUUUUUAACAUCUCCUU
rnacentral:misc_RNA from 1 species